ACUCGUAGACUCCUACGGGAGGCAGCAGUGGGGAAUCUUGCGCAAUGGGCGGAAGCCUGACGCAGCAACGCCGCGUGAGGGAUGACGGCCUUCGGGUUGUAAACCUCUUUCGCGAUCGACGAAGGUCAUGCUUCUGGCAUGGCUGACGGUAGGUCGAGAAGAAGCACCGGCCAACUACGUGCCAGCAGCCGCGGUAAUACGUAGGGUGCGAGCGUUGUCCGGAAUUAUUGGGCGUAAAGAGCUCGUAGGCGGUGUGUCGCGUCGGCCGUGAAAACCUGGGGCUUAACUCUGGGCGUGCGGUCGAUACGGGCAUCACUAGAGUUCGGCAGGGGAGACUGGAAUUCCUGGUGUAGCGGUGAAAUGCGCAGAUAUCAGGAGGAACACCGGUGGCGAAGGCGGGUCUCUGGGCCGAUACUGACGCUGAGGAGCGAAAGCAUGGGUAGCGAACAGGAUUAGAUACCCUGGUAG
rnacentral:rRNA from 1 species